UACGUAGGGUGCGAGCGUUAAUCGGAAUUACUGGGCGUAAAGCGUGCGCAGGCGGUUUUGUAAGCCAGAUGUGAAAUCCCCGGGCUCAACCUGGGAAUGGCAUUUGUGACUGCAUAGCUGGAGUGCGGCAGAGGGGGAUGGAAUUCCGCGUGUAGCAGUGAAAUGCGUAGAUAUGCGGAGGAACACCGAUGGCGAAGGCAAUCCCCUGGGCCUGCACUGACGCUCAUGCACGAAAGCGUGGGGAGCAAACAGG
rnacentral:rRNA from 1 species